rnacentral:ncRNA from 1 species
AACAAUUAUAGCGCCUGGACAAACAAAUUAAGUCAAAUGUUUGUUGACGAGGAAAGAACUUAUCGAAACACUCGGCGGAUAGUUCUAUGGCAUACCUACUGUCACAAAUAGUGUACAAAACCCAGCAGAAAUGCUAGAACAAAAACACUAU